GGUGAACUCCACCUCCAGGCAGAAUGAGGCUCUGCACCGCAGCCCUGCUUCUUCUACUGGCCAUCUGCCUCCCUCCAGGCCACGUUUCUGGACCAAGGCCAAGAAAGCUAUAUGUGUGAAUCCUACUGCCAGAUGGUUACCAAAAGUAUUAAAAUUUGUCCGAAGCAGAAGUAUUACUUCAACUCCCCAAGCUCCAGUGAGUAAGAAAAGAGCUGCCUGAAGCCACUGUCACCCCAAAAGACACCUGCACCCUUUCUUAAUCCCUGCUCGGAAUCUUAGUGUUACGUUCUUAGUUGAAGAAUUUCCAAGAAAAUAACUUCCCUCUACAAACACGGCUGUAGAUUAAAAGAAAAAAAUCCUGCAGUAGCUGAGAGGAGACACUCGAGCUCCUUCCCAUACUCAACCCAUAUUCUUGUUCCUUAAGGGAGGAUAUUUUCGAGCAGGCAUUUAGUGACAAGCCACUUUGGUAAUAGACCUGUUGUUUAGUGUUAAACUAUCCUAGACCCUAGAGGAAUAAAAGCAUACAUGUCGAAUCUGAACCCAUAGCUCCUACUAACAAGAGGUUUAUGAGAUGGACUUCAGUUAGUUUGCACCCUUGCAAAAAUCAGGCUUCCAGAAUAGUUUCCAGAAGGUCCCUAAGAAGCAGACGCAUUACCAGCCUAAGGUGAUGCAGAGCAGGUCUCCUUUAGAGAGAAUCUUCAUGAGGGAAAUAAUGCUUCGACUUUGAAAGGUUGCUUGUAC
rnacentral:lncRNA from 1 species